rnacentral:ncRNA from 1 species
UCGGGUCUGUGGUUGCAAGCCGAUGCCAGUCGCAGGCAAAGCGGUCCACGUAAGCCGGGCAAAGGCCCCGGUGAGCAUGGUGCGGUCUAGAGGUAAGUCCGGCCGUGUGAAAGCACGAGAGAAUGGCGUGAGGGCGCAAACGCGCAGAGCAAGAUUCCUGCCGGCGAGUGUGGGGUCAAAGACCAGGUCAGCCGAU